rnacentral:rRNA from 1 species
AUUGAACGCUGGCGGCAGGCUUAACACAUGCAAGUCGAACGAGUGGCGGACGGGUGAGUAAUGCUUGGGAAUCUGGCUUAUGGAGGGGGAUAACUACGGGAAACUGUAGCUAAUACCGCAUACCAUCGGAUGAGCCCAGAUGGGAUUAGCUAGUUGGUGGGGUAAAGGCUCACCAAGGCGACGAUCCCUAGCUGGUCUGAGAGGAUGACCAGCCACACUGGGACUGAGACACGGUCCAGACUCCUACGGGAGGCAACAGUGGGGAAUAUUGGACAAUGGGCGCAAGCCUGAUGCAGCCAUGCCGCGUGUAUGAAGAAGGCCUUCGGGUUGUAAAGUACUUUCGGCGGGGAGGCGUUACCCGCAGAAGAAGCACCGGCUAACUCCGUGCCAGCAGCCGCGGUAAUUC